rnacentral:rRNA from 1 species
CAUUCAAUCACUUUAGAGGAACCUGUCUAUUAAUCGACUCUCCACGAUAUCUUUCACUUUUAUUUAUAUUUUAUAUACCACCAUCUUUUAGGAUUAAUAUAAAUAUUCUUUCCUUAAUAGAAACUUCUUAUAAGUUAGGUAAAGGUGUAGACUAUAUAAAAGAUAAGAUGGGUUACAUUAAGAAAUACUAAAGGAUAAUCAUUCAAAUAUUUUUGGAAAAAGGAUUUAUUAGUAAUAUUAAAAGAUUAAUUAUAAAUGAAAUUGACAAAUAUGUGCACAUAUCGCCCGUCACUCUCAC